rnacentral:rRNA from 1 species
CGGCCACAUUGGGACUGAGACACGGCCCAGACUCCUACGGGAGGCAGCAGUGGGGAAUAUUGCGCAAUGGGGGAAACCCUGACGCAGCAACGCCGCGUGAAGGAAGAAGGAUCUUGGUCUGUAAACUUCUUUAAUCUGUGAAGAAACAAAUGACGGUAGCAGAGGAAUAAGCCCCGGCUAACUACGUGCCAGCAGCCGCGGUAAUACGUAGGGGGCAAGCGUUGUCCGGAAUUACUGGGUGUAAAGGGAGUGUAGGCGGGUAUUUAAGUCAGAUGUGAAAAC